GCGUACGUGACUUCCUCUUGCCGUUGGAAACGCUGCUGGUGCUUUUUCGGAGUCAGAAGUGCACAUAAGACCAGAGGACAGCAGAUUUGUGUUUUAUUGUCUUCAGUGGCUCAACAAUCACUGGAGUUGACGCCAAACAAAAGCCAAGCAGAGUGGCAGCUCAGUGAACGGAAACGCCUCGCUGAUGAGAGGGGUCAGCGGCUGACAGGAAGUCCACGGCAGCUCAAACUGCCACUCGCUGCAAAUGUGCUGGGGUGGAGAAACAGGUCAGAACAAACAACACACCAAACACUGAGGUGAUCAGACCCGACAGCAGAAAACCACCCCGAGUCUCUCCUCCAGAUCAGAAAUAUGAAGCUAAGCUGAAAAAAAAACACUGCCUGAAUAUAAAUACGUUGGAAACUGGAUAAAAAGAGGAAAU